rnacentral:rRNA from 1 species
GAUGAACGCUGGCGGCGUGCCUAAUACAUGCAAGUCGAGCGAAGCGGGGACGGGUGAGUAACAUGUGGAUAACCUCCUAUAUGCCUGGGAUAACUUCGGGAAACCGGAGCCAAACCCGAUACUUACCCCUUGAUCCGCUCUGUAUUAGCUAGUUGGUAAGGUAACGGCUUACCAAGGCAACGAUGCAUAGCCGACCUGAGAGGGUGAUCGGCCACACUGGAACUGAGACACGGUCCAGACUCCUAAGGGAGGGAGCAGUAGGGAAGCUUCCAGAAUGGGCGAAAGCCUGACGGAGGGAUGCCGCGUGAAUGAUGAAGGUCUUCGGCUCGUAAAACUCUGUUAGUAGGGAAGCGUUACCUGAUCAGAAAGCCACGGCUAACUACGUGCCAGCAGCCGCGGUAAUUC